rnacentral:rRNA from 1 species
GAUGAACGCUGGCGGCGUGCCUAAUACAUGCAAGUCGAGCGAACGGACUAGAAGCUUGCUUCUCUGAUGUUAGCGGCGGACGGGUGAGUAACACGUGGAUAACCUACCUAUAAGACUGGGAUAACUUCGGGAAACCGUAGCUAAUACCGGAUAAUAUUUUGUAUCGCAUGGUUCAAAAGUGAAAGACGGUCUUGCUGUCACUUAUAGAUGGAUCCGCUCUGCAUUAGCUAGUUGGUAAGGUAACGGCUUACCAAGGCAACGAAGCAUAGCCGACCUGAGAGGGUGAUCGGCAACACUGGAACUGGGACACGGUCCAGACUCCUACGGGAGGAAGCAGUAGGGAAUCUUCCGCAAUGGGCGAAAGCCUGACGGAGAAACGCGGCGUGAGUGAUGAAGGUCUUCGGACCGUAAAACUCUGUUAUUAGGGAAGAACAGAUGUGUAAGUAACUGUGCACAUCUUGACGGUACCUAAUCAGAAAGCCACGGCUAACUACGUG